GGGAGUUUGGCCGAGUGGUUAAGGCGUCGUGUUUAGGUCUUGCGGGCUUCGUGCCCGUGAAACCACAAACAAUUCCGCGAUGGGAAACCGCGCAGGUUCGAAUCCUGCAGCUCUCA